AUGGGAGCGGACCAAAGGCCAGAAGAACUCAUCAAUUACUAUGCCAUGAGUUCGUCGGCCGCGCGGAAUAUUGCAAGCGCUGCAGGGUUCUUUGCGUUGCUGUGGUCUACCGUCGUGCUCCUCGGUGGCUUCGUCAGCGUCCUGCCGGUCAAGGAUUUCUGGUUUCUCUCGCUACUGAGCUUUCUAAUGGCAUCCAGGAUGCUGCUGGAGAUGGAUGUCAAUACUGCUUGGGAUUAUGUGGUAGAUAUAGACAUCAUACGUUUGCGUAAUCAGCUUGAGGGGGGAGGCCGAAGGCCAUAUUGGACACAUAUCUUCAUUCUGUCCACAGGGCUCAUCGUGAAGACAACUGUCAUAAUCUGUGUAGCAUUGCCCAUAGUUUCGGUUGGGCCAUAUGUGGCCCUGGCACUCUCAGUGGCGCGUCUCGUACAAAGGGAUUACGGCGAUGUGGGUGGAGAUGCUGAAAACAAAGCAAAACUGACCGCAUCACUGAUCAUCUUCUAUGUUCUAGUUACCUUUCAGAGUUUAUCCGUCUUUUACUGGGUAUAUCUUGAUGGAUCUGAGCCGUGGAUGUCGGUGAGCAAACAAUCUGGAUUUGGGAUUUGGGGUCCCAAAAUUGUUAGGAAAUAUCAAAAAAACACCAUAGCCAUGUGUCUUAAGGAUGGGUUUUUGCCCGACAAUUGGAACCUGAUCACAUUUAGUGUUGGGUUGCUGGGGUCUGCAACUCAGGAUGCUGAUGGACGCCAUCUUUGGGGGGCAAGGGUGUUAGACACUUUUAUUGACAAAGGAAUACCUGUAAGGCAGGAGCUACUCACUUCCAGCCAAGCAAUUCAGAACCUGAUCGACAUGGUUAUUGGUCCGACAAGAACAGAUGGCCCUGAGAUCAGAGAGCGUGCCGCAAGGAUUUUAGCGGAUCUAGCCAGUGAGCUCCGUACAGCCCAGUUUCCGGAUGCAUUGAGAUGCAUAUGCUGCCUACUUGAAAGCUCUAAGCAAUAUAGUGAUCCAGAAGCAGUUGCUCAUCCGUUAGAGAAUUCUGAGCAAACUGAUAGGAAUUCCCACAAGCGGCCUUCAGUAGAAAGCUUCCAGCAUGGUCACCAACAAGAAAAUGACCACUUGUCAUUGGCGAUCAUCGAGCAAACUGACCAUAAGCAUCAACCAUCAGGUGAGUUGCCCAAGGGAAAAUCUUGGAUUCAGGCCAUAAUCCAUCUAAUGAAUAAGUCUAGCAUCCCCGAAUGGGAUAAAUAUUUUGGAGAUAAGUACCACUACUCCUAUGUAUCAAAAGGAACAAAAGAGCUAAUCUCUCAAGGCUUGGUGAUUCUUGAGAGGCUCACUCAAAAUGAAGAGAACUGCAUAGAGAUAAUCAAGCACCAAAGGCUUCUCUCUAAGAUCAUUUUACCGUUAAGCUACCAAGACUUCCUCAGCAAUAGAUGUGAUCAUACGUGGGUUGAGAUACUAAGCAGGUCACUCACAGUGGUCAGCAAGCUUAUCAGUGUUGGACCUACUGAUGAAACCACGAGGUUGUGCCAUGAUAUGUCGCGCAACACAGUAGCUAUCCGCAAUUUGAUGUGCAUUUUGGAGGUUGACAGCGAAGGUGCACGAGAACUACAUGGACAGGCCAUAGAAAUUCUUACGGAGCUAGCCUUUGUUGAUUCUUUAAGAAAACUAGAUUUUCAUGAAUCUACGAGCAUGACAGAAACGUUCGUCAAGACGCUGUGA
rnacentral:rRNA from 1 species